UCGUUUGCAGGUGCAGCAUCCUCAAGAUUCACAUACCGUUCCGUGGGAGGGAGAGUAACUAGCUUGCCAGUUAUGGAUCAUUAGCUCUCCAUUCCCCACCGAGGAGUUCUUGGCAAUGAGAAUCUUGAUGAUGCUGCAUCGGCGAUAUA
rnacentral:pre_miRNA from 1 species